rnacentral:rRNA from 1 species
UACAGAGACUGCAAGCGUUAUUCGGAUUCACUGGGCGUAAAGGGUGCGCAGGUGGCCAAGUGUGUGAGGCGCGAAAGCCUGGGGCUUAACUCCAGAAUUGCACCUCAAACUACUUGGCUAGAGCAUUGGAGAGGGGAGCAGAAUUCACGGUGUAGCAGUGAAAUGCGUAGAUAUCGUGAGGAAUACCAGAGGCGAAGGCGGCUCCCUGGACAAUUGCUGACACUCAGGCACGAAAGCGUGGGGAGCAAAAGGG